rnacentral:rRNA from 1 species
UACGUAGGGUGCGAGCGUUAAUCGGAAUUACUGGGCGUAAAGCGUGCGCAGGCGGUGAUGUAAGACAGAUGUGAAAUCCCCGGGCUCAACCUGGGAACUGCAUUUGUGACUGCAUCGCUGGAGUACGGCAGAGGGGGAUGGAAUUCCGGCGUGUAGCAGUGAAAUGCGUAGAUAUGCGGAGGAACACCGAUGGCGAAGGCAAUCCCCUGGGCCUGUACUGACGCUCAUGCACGAAAGCGUGGGGAGCAA